CAGUAGCCGCGGGAACACGAAGGGUGCAAGCGUUACUCGGAAUUACUGGGCGUAAAGCGUGUGUAGGUGGUUGUUUAAGUCUGUCGUGAAAGCCCUGGGCUCAACCUGGGAAUUGCGAUGGAUACUGGGCGACUAGAGUGCGGUAGAGGAUAGUGGAAUUUCCGGUGUAGCAGUGAAAUGCGUAGAGAUCGGAAGGAACAUCUGUGGCGAAGGCGACUAUCUGGGCCAACACUGACACUGAGGCACGAAAGCGUGGGGAGCAAACAGGAUUAGAUACCCCUGUAGUCCCUGUCUCUUAUAC
rnacentral:rRNA from 1 species